GACGAACGCUGGCGGCGUGCUUAACACAUGCAAGUCGAGCGACAGGCUCCUUCGGGGGUUAUGGAGCGGCGAACGGGUGAGUAACACGUGGGUAACCUGCCCUUAGCUUUGGGAUAACUCCGGGAAACCGGGGCUAAUACCGAAUAUUCGCGCCCUGGGGCAUCUUGGGGUGUGGAAAGUUUUUCGGCUAGGGAUGGGCCCGCGGCCUAUCAGCUUGUUGGUGGGGUGAUGGCCUACCAAGGCGGUGACGGGUAGCCGGCCUGAGAGGGCGACCGGCCACACUGGGACUGAGACACGGCCCAGACUCCUACGGGAGGCAGCAGUGGGGAAUCUUGCGCAAUGGGCGAAAGCCUGACGCAGCGACGCCGCGUGAGGGAUGACGGCCUUCGGGUUGUAAACCUCUUUCAGCAGGGACGAAGCGAAAGUGACGGUACCUGCAGAAGAAGCACCGGCCAACUACGUGCCAGCAGCCGCCGUAACAC
rnacentral:rRNA from 1 species